AUUGAACGCUGGCGGCAUGCUUUACACAUGCAAGUCGAACGGCAGCACGGGCUUCGGCCUGGUGGCGAGUGGCGAACGGGUGAGUAAUGCAUCGGAACGUGCCCAUGUUGUGGGGAUAACUACGCGAAAGCGUGGCUAAUACCGCAUACGCCCUGAGGGGGAAAGCGGGGGAUUCUUCGGAACCUCGCGCAAUUGGAGCGGCCGAUGUCAGAUUAGCUUGUUGGUGGGGUAAUGGCCUACCAAGGCAACGAUCUCUAGCUGGUCUGAGAGGACGAUCAGCCACACUGGGACUGAGACACGGCCCAGACUCCUACGGGAGGCAGCAGUGGGGAAUAUUGGACAAUGGGCGAAAGCCUGAUCCAGCAAUGCCGCGUGUGUGAAGAAGGCCUGAGGGUUGUAAAGCACUUUCAAUCGUGAAGAAAAGUUGCAGGCUAAUACCCUGUGACCUUGACGUUAACGAUACAAGAAGCACCGGCUAACUCCGUG
rnacentral:rRNA from 1 species